rnacentral:rRNA from 1 species
GACGAACGCUGGCGGCGUGCUUAACACAUGCAAGUCGAACGGAAAGGCCCUGCUUUUGUGGGGUGCUCGAGUGGCGAAAGGGUGAGUAACACGUGAGUAACCUGCCCUUGACUUUGGGAUAACUUCAGGAAACUGGGGCUAAUACCGGAUAGGAGCUCCUGCUGCAUGGUGGGGGUUGGAAAGUUUCGGCGGUUGGGGAUGGACUCGCGGCUUAUCAGCUUGUUGGUGGGGUAGUGGCUUACCAAGGCUUUGACGGGUAGCCGGCCUGAGAGGGUGACCGGCCACAUUGGGACUGAGAUGCGGCCCAGACUCCUACGGGAGGCAGCAGUGGGGUAUAUUGCACAAUGGGCGGAAGCCUGAUGCAGCCACGCCGCGUGCGGGAUGACGGCCUUCGGGUUGUAAACCGCUUUCGCCUGUGACGAAGCGUGAGUGACGGUAAUGGGUAAAGAAGCACCGGCUAACUACGUG